CUUGUCGCUAUAACUAAGUCAAUAUCAAACCGAUCGAUUUGAAUUUUUACAAAAUUUCAAAUCAAUCGGUUUGAAAUUGACUUAGUUAUAGCGGCAAGUAG
rnacentral:pre_miRNA from 14 species